rnacentral:lncRNA from 1 species
UUGGUGCAGUUGUCAGGGAUUGUGUCGGUGAUAAUUGUUUUUGAAUUAAUUACUUUGUAAAAUAAUAUCGAUCGAAAGACGAAUAAGCUAGAUAGCGUGUUAAUUUUUAUUUUAUUUUAUUUUAUUGUUCAUUAUUUUUUCUUAUUUUUAUUUUGUUAGUUACCUUGUUGAUUUUUAAAAAAAUCUAAUCAUGGGUGAAUUUUAUGGCGCCCCAAACCUGGCCGGAACGGAACGGAACAGACCGACCCGAAUCCGGAACGUCAC